UACGGGGGGAGCAAGCGUUGUUCGGAUUUACUGGGCGUAAAGGGCGCGUAGGCGGUCAGCACAAGUCAGUUGUGAAAUCUCCGGGCUUAACUCGGAAAGGUCAACUGAUACUGUGCGACUAGAGUGCAGAAGGGGCAACUGGAAUUCUCGGUGUAGCGGUGAAAUUCGUAGAUAUCGGGAGGAACACCGGUGGCGAAGGCGGCGAUCUGGGUCGAUACUGACGCUGAGGUGCGAAAGCGUGGGGAGCAAACAGG
rnacentral:rRNA from 1 species